GAUCCAGCCAUGCCGCGUGAGUGAUGAAGGCCUUAGGGUUGUAAAGCUCUUUCACCGGUGAAGAUAAUGACGGUACCCGGAGAAGAAGCCCCGGCUAACUUCGUGCCAGCAGCCGCGGUAAUACGAAGGGGGCAAGCGUUGUUCGGAUUUACUGGGCGUAAAGCGCACGUAGGCGGAUUUUUAAGUCAGGGGUGAAAUCCCGGGGCUCAACCCCGGAACUGCCUUUGAUACUGGAANUCUUGAGUAUGGUAGAGGUGAGUGGAAUUCCGAGUGUAGCGGUGAAAUUCGUAGAUAUUCGGAGGAACACCAGUGGCGAAGGCG
rnacentral:rRNA from 1 species